GUAGGACGCGAGCGUUAUCCGGAUUUACUGGGCGUAAAGCGUCUGUAGCCGGAUGUGUAACUUGGGCGUGAAAGCUCCGGGCUUAACCCGGAGAGNCCGUUCAAUACUGCAUAACUUGAGGGUGUCAGAGGGGANCGGAAUUCCCGGUGUAACGGUAAAAUGCGCAGAGAUCGGGAGGAACACCAGUGNCGGAGNCGGUUCCCUGGGGCACACCUGACGCUGAGAGACGAAAGCUAGGGGAGCGAACAGGAUUAGAGACCCUGGUAGUCCUAGCCCUAAACGAUGAAUGCUAGGUGUGGGAUCGAAUGGUUCCGUGCCGGAGCGAACGCGAUAAGCAUUCCGCCUGGGGAGUACGGCCGCAAGGUUAAAACUCAAACGAAUUGACGGGGCCCCGCACAAGCAGCGGAGCGUGUGGUUUAAUUCGAUGCUACACGAAGAACCUUACCUGGGUUUGACAUGUAGGUGGUAGUGAAUCGAAAGGUGAACGACCCUUCGGGGAGCCUACACAGGUGCUGCAUGGCUGUCGUCAGCUCGUGCCGUGAGGUGUCGGGUUAAGUCCCGUAACGAGCGCAACCCUUGCUCCUAGUUACAAGUGUCUAGGGGGACUGCCGGCGGAAAGCCGGAGGAAGGUGGGGAUGACGUCAAGUCAGCAUGGCCCUUAUAUCCAGGGCUACACACACGCUACAAUGGUCGGUACAAAGGGCAGCGAAACCGCGAGGCGGAGCGAAUCCGAGAAAAGCCGAUCGUAGUUCGGAUAGCAGGCUGCAACCCGCCUGCUUGAAGCUGGAGUUGCUAGUAACCGCGCGUCAGCCAUAGCGCGCUGAAUACGUUCCCGGGGCUUGUACACACCGCCCGUCACGUCAUGGGAGUCGGUAACGCCUGAAGCCGGUAGUCUAACUGGAAACAGGAGACGCUGUCGAGGGCGGGACUGGCAACUGGGACGAAGUC
rnacentral:rRNA from 1 species